CUUAGCCCACAUUUACACACUGAAGGCGAGAGUGAAAACACACGGAACUUUGUAACCAGCCGUGAAAUAUUUAUUUUAAGAAACUUAAAAAAGGUAGAAAUAUAUAAAAUAGUGAAACCUAUUGCUGAGAAGCUUUGACACGAGAAGUAACAAGAAGAAAAUAUAUAAAAGUUGAAGAAGUACCUGGAUUUUGUGGGAAAGGAAUCUGCUGAAAAAGAAAAUCAUUCCAAUUUUUUGACUGGUUUAUAUUUUAGAGCAGAGUUUGAAAGAAAUCUGUUGAGAAAACCGGACCGCAAUUUUUACUACUGGUUGAUACAACAAAGAGAGAAUUAUUAACGAAUUUGCUCACAAUUGCAAAUAUUUGUCUGGUUUUAUUUACUAGGAGAGAGAGAAAAACUUACUAAAAAUCAGUGAACAAGAGCAAAGCGACAACUUUCUGUCCUACCAGGCAUCACAGUUUGAAAAAGCUUGGGCCAGAUUUCAAGAAGACAUAGCGACCGAGCAAGAAACCCGGCGCAAGAUUAGAUUCAUUUCCGGAGACAGCGGAAUUUCAUCUCCCGCGAUUUCGUCAAUUUCUUCGCCCGAGAUUUCGUCAACCACCGAAAUUUCAGCUUACCCAUUCUCACCAAUUUUCGAAGAAGACGAUUCAAUGGAGCUCAACUGGUUGUCACAAGAGGGGUUCAACUUUGAUCAGCUUGACGCCGUCUCUAACGACGUGGCGUCACCCGCUGAGGGGACUACUGGCGUUGAAGGCUCCACCGUCCCAUCCCCACGGGACGCUACUUUCUCACACCAAUACGUCGGAGAUCUCGACUUUCUCCCGGACGAUAUGGAUUUCAACGACAUUUUCAACGAGGACAUGAAGAAGCCUUUGAUGCACAAUGACGGCAGCGACAUGCUCUCCGGCACCACUUUGAACAAGCACUUUGAAAACUUGCCGGAUAUCAGUCUCUCCUCGAUUCUGAAUUCAUCCUCCUCCACCGUCACCUCGGCGAUGGAGCCGAAUCGCGUCUUUGUCGUCAACACAGCGACGAAACAAAUUUCCGCAGAAGGGCAAGAAGCCGUGGCGGCGCAGUACAACACACGAUCCACCCACCAGCGCAAAGCCGCCCCAGGAAAGCGAGUCGUCGCCCAGUCGCCAUACCAGUCCCAGCAAGAAGCCGUCAAAGAGGAAGAGGAAGAAGAGGACGUUAAACCAAACGUGUCCCAAUUGGCGUCCACCUACGGAUUGCGCAGGAAGCGAAACCUGUCCACCAUUUCAACCGACGAUGCCCCCACAUCCUCCCGAAAUUCCAAGAAACCACGAAAAUAUGAAAUUGAAGACGUCAACGAUCCCUCCGUACGAAACGCCAAGGCCGCCAAGCUCAACCGCGACCGAAAGAAGAGGGAAUUUAACGAGAUGAAGAAACGUGCUGAAGCCGCCGAAGCAACCGUGGCAUCUCUUCGAGUAGAAAAUGACUCCUUGAAAACCUCCCUCGCCUCCGUUUCGGGACAAUUGAACGAUCUGAAAGUAAAGAACCGAACCGUGACGGGGUUGAAUUGUCAAAUGUCCACGAUGAAGAAUGUCUUUGAAGCCAUUUUGCCCGCGAUGAGUCAAAAGUUUGGGAGGCAGAUGGCCGUCGAGGUGCCAGAUUCGUUCGCCCAGAUCCCUGCCGCUUUGGACGAACGGGGAGAAUUGAUCGGGGGAGGAGCAGGGGGCCUGAAUCCAGACGGGUUUAACAUUUUGGACGAGAGUUUCCAAAUGGGAGUGGGAGAGCAGACCGACAUGGCUGAACAGUCAUCCCAGCCCAUGAACAGCAACUAUUUCACCCUCCACAUCAACCCACAGGGGGGCAAGAUCCGGCUGGAUUACGAUCCGAGUAAGCUUAUCAAAGAAUUGAGGGAUGAUAAUAAUGAUGACAAUGAUGACAUGGAGGAUAAUUAAGUCGUCGAUUUAAAUAUUACUUAUUAUGAUAAUUCACUUUACUAACUAACUUAAAAAUAAGUUACUAAUUAUUCGCUAGUAUAUUAAUUACCUAAUUACAGAAGAUUUACAAAAGUAGGAUAUAAUUAUUACGACUGAACAUUUUUUAUUUUCAAAUCUUCUGAAAUUAGGUAGAAAAAUGGGAUGAAUGUGUUUGUGGCACAUGUUUUUUUUAAAAGAAUUGUGUAAAAUUAUGUGAUCGUAUUGUAAGGAUUUUUUAUGGUAAAAUUGAAUCUUCCUUAGAAUACGAUUACUUUUUUCUAUCUUAAUUUUGAAUGUGUGAUUGUGCCCGGAUUUUUGUCGUUGGAAUUGGUUUCGAUGUUUUUUUCGCACUGUGGUCAGGUCAUCACCGGAGGGAUGAUGAGUACUUUGAUGUGACGAGAUGACGACGAUUUCCCCCUUAGAAUUUGGCUAAAGAAUUCAAUUUUGGAAAAACAAAGGAAUUAAUCAAACCUAAAAACGGAUUGACCGAGCGGAAAUGAAAUCUUGAUCUGAUAUUAGCUAGCUCUCAUCUAUAAAUACACUUAUCCAAGCAAUUCUUCCAUCCACGCCUUCCUCAUCCAUCGGGGGUGAUGAUGAGGGGAGGUCUUCCAAGUACAAGUCAAGUUUCAAAUCCACACCAUCAAUGACAACUUUUUCAAGAAAAAAAAAUCGCCUCUAAAGAGAAGCUGCGUCUUCAUCGGGUGCGGCAAUGAUGCUUUUUUUCUUUAAAGUUAGUCACGUCCGAGUCUUCGCAGUGGACAAGACAGUUAAUUGUUACCUAGUUGACUAAACUAUUGGGGUGCGGCGUUUUUUAAUGAUGUUGGUCCGAUUUACCCUUGGGGUUAAAAAAUCUGUUUGUUAAAGGGGUUAAAUUUUCCUGAGAUAAAUUGUUAAGAAACAAUAAUUAGUGGGGAGGCGAUUACGUACGGGAAGAAGUUCAGAUGGUCAUCGUCCUCCGUCCUGUUUCUGUAGGGGUGACCCGUCCCCUUGAAGCGAUGAUGAUGAUGCCCGGACCCUUUCUUCCAUUAGAGAAACUUAUUUUGACCCUUCAUAUCCUCCUCCCUCGAUACACACCUUAACUUGCGCCACUUACUAUAGAGGCACUAGUUUAUAAGUCUGUUUCUUUUUCCUGUAUUUAAAAAACGAGUUUCUCUUUCUCAAAAGGGGUGAAAAUGGCUUCCAGUAAAAUCUGGAUGACAAAAAGUGUGGUGCUCUCUUCUUCUCCUUGGUGCGUGACCUUCUUCGUCCUGAUGACCGUAAAGAUUUUUUCUGUCCGGGGAAGACACACCUGUUCUGAUACAAAAGUUAAGCCUCCUCGACCAGAGAGAACAUGAAAACCAGACCAGGCGGAGAAGGAAUCUAUUAAGAGAGACAGAGAGAGAUCAAGAUAACCUACUUAUCCACACACACAAACAAACACCACCAUUACAAUUACUCGUUAUUUAUCUUAUCUUCUCGUCAUUUUUUCUAUUUAUUGUAUUAUCAAAUAUCUAUUUUCUACCCCGAUUUGUACGGCCAGACUUGACUUGGAAGAGUGUAAAAUAGAGCAGCGAAAAAUAUCUAGGCUAAGAAAAUUAUGGAUGGAUUAGGUUUUGUAAAUUGUAGAAUUUAGCAGGUCGUGGAUUCUGUUGUAAUUUUUUUGGAGUGUCCCGACCUUUGACCUGACUACAGGGUGAUAUUGAUAUUGAUUCCAUCUGGUAGACUUUAUAAGUUGAAAUACUUUGUAGUUUGUAUGAAAAAAGCAUGUGUGCACUUUUUGAUGAAUGAUUCCGGUUUAUUGAGUACGAAACGUUAAACAACAAGAAAUAUGUAUGUAGAUAAAAGAUUUAUUUAAUGGAUACGUGACCUAUCGUUGCGGGAAAUAUGUACAUAAGAUCUUAGAUUGAUAAGUAUGGAGGAGAAAAACGAACCUUUUUUCGUUGCGGGAAACUAGUUGAUAAUCAAUUAUUAUUAAGAAGCCAGUUAAAUAUUUUGUGUUUUUUGAGCACGUUGGAUUGUUUUGUUUUACUUGUUAAAUGAAAAAUGUAAAAAAAAAAUUAUGAAAAGAUGCCCAAAGAUUAUAUAAUCUUGUUUAAAAGGGCCAACUAAUUAAGA